UCAAUCACUUAGCAUCCAAGGGUGACCAUCCAUUGGUCCUCAAUCUCCCCCUUGAUGAGUGCAUUGACAACACCCAACACAAAUUCAUAGUUUGAUAAGAAAAGGAAAAAGAAACUCGAACUGCAAAAUCUCAGCCCCCUAAGAUAAGGGCAACAGCUCAACACGACUGGGAUAAAAACAUGUGAUCCCUCAAGAAGAGGCAGAAAAAUGGGCUCAACACCAAUCACAUGAAAAUCCAAAACCGGCUCCUCAAGAAGAGGUACAACAGCUCAACACGACCGGCAAAAGGGAAAAUGAGCAUAAGAACAUAAAAACUCACAGAGCUCCCCCUGAAAUCAGGACUCCCCCUGAACAAAUGCAUGAAAAACUCUCCCCCUCGACAAAAGAAUGAGUUUGUGUGAAAUCUCUCCCCCUUGUUGGCAAUGCAAGCAUCAAGAUAAGCAUGAAAGCCGAAAAUCAUGACAUGGAAAUGCAGAAACGAACAAGCUUCUCAG
rnacentral:lncRNA from 1 species